rnacentral:misc_RNA from 1 species
AAUCUGUUUGAUAUUUUCUGAAUUAAUGCAUAAAAUUAUAUUUUUUAACUAAUGAAGUAGCAUCAUAUCAUUCCAUAAGGAAAUUAAAAAAUGCUAAUGUUCUAAUCGCAGUGUCAUGCAUAUUCAAUGUUCGUUUAUAAUGGUAUAAGCAGGAAUUAUAUCUAUAUUGCAUGUAUAAGAAGCACAGUAAAAAAUUUUAGGCAAAUAAUAGAAAUACAAUUAAUAACAUGUAAUAAAAUAAUAAAAAUAAAAUUAAAUCUUGCAGCAUUGAUGUUGAGAGAGAGAAACAUAUUUAAAAAUAUUUAAGUAUAAUGAAAUAAAAUCUUAAGAAACUUUACUAAGAAAAUAUAGAGCAUUCAUAUUUGCGGGACUCUAAACAUUUUACAAAAUGUAUUCGUUAAUAAGAAAAUAAAUAUAAGCUAUUAAAUGCAUAGCGUGCAAUAAUAACGAAGCUAAAUAAUUAUAACUUCUUAUUCCCGUCAAAAUAAAUAAUUAGGAGAACGUACCUGUUGCUUCUUUUGAUUUAAUUUAUUACGUUUUAUUACGUCUUCUGAGGCGUUUAAAGCUUCUGCAGCAGCAGCUUCUAAUCUACGACGCUGUUCAUUUUCUUGAUCCGCAGCCUGUAAAAAUACUUUGCUUUGUAGUAUUCUAGCAUUUUGCUUUUUUAUGACCGUUUUAAUUGAAAAUAAUCCUUUCUGGUUAUAAGCUUAUUAUAUAUGUAUAUGUAUGGUGUAAAAGUUAAACGGUACCUUAAAUGCCCUUGCGAAUCUGACGAGAAGAGAGAAGAACGUAUUAGCAUCAGCUUGCCUGGGACUUUCUCCAAAAAAUUCAACGCAUUCUCGGAAUGCUUCUCCAGCAGCGCGUGCAUCGGAUUUUAAACGACGCAAUUUUUCUUCGGAAUUAUUUAAGAAAUCUCGCAGUACGGUGUUGUGUUUUUCUUUACCACGUAGUUCAAAUUCUUUCCUUACGAGAUCCAUACCCUUCUCUAAUUCGUGAACGUCGGUAGUUAUAUUUUCUAGCGAGAC